rnacentral:rRNA from 1 species
AGAGUUUGAUCCUGGCUCAGAUUGAACGCUGGCGGCAGGCUUCAGACAUGCAAGUCGAGCGGAAACAGGCCGCUGUGAUCCCUUCGGGGUGAACUUGGUGCUGUCGAGCGGCGGACGGGUGAGUAACGCGUAGGGAUCUGCCUAACAAUGGGGGAUAGCCCGGUGAAAACCGGAUUAAUACCGCAUACGUCCUAAGGGAGAAAGGGUGCCUCUUCUGGACCUUGCACUAUUGGAUGGGCCUGCGUUGGAUUAGCUUGUUGGUAAGGUAAAGGCCUACCAAGGCUUCGAUGGAUAGCGGGUCUGAGAGGACGAUCCGCCACACUGGCACUGAGACACGGGCCAGACUCCUACGGGAGGCAGCAGUGGGGAAUCUUGCGCAAUGGGCGAAAGCCUGACGCAGCAAUGCCGCGUGAGUGAAGAAGGCCUUCGGGUCGUAAAGCUCUUUUCUCAGGGAAGAUGAUGACGGUACCUGAGGAAUAAGCACCGGCUAACUACGUGCCAGCAGCCGCGGUAAUACGUAGGGUGCGAGCGUUGUUCGGAUUUACUGGGCGUAAAGGGCGUGUAGGCGGAAUAGUAAGCUAGAGGUGAAAGCCCGGGGCUCAACCCCGGAACUGCUUCUGGAACUGCUAUUCUAGAGAGGGUCAGAGGUCAGCGGAAUUCCUGGUGUAGAGGUGGAAUGCGCAGAUAUCAGGAGGAACACCAGUGGCGAAGGCGGUGCUCUGGGCCGGUACUGACGCUGAGGAGCGAAAGCAUGGGGAGCAAACAGGAUUAGAUACCCUGGUAGUCCAUGCCGUAAACGUUGGGCACUAGGUAUGGGGUCUUAUCAACGGAUUCCGUGCCGUAGCUAACGCAUUAAGUGCCCCGCCUGGGGAGUACGGCCGCAAGGCUAAAACUCAAAGGAAUUGACGGGGGCCCGCACAAGCGGCGGAGCAUGUUGCUUAAUUCGAGGCAACGCGAAGAACCUUACCUGGGUUUGACAUGUAGGGAAAAGCCAUAGAGAUAUGGUGUCCUUUUGGGCCCUACACAGGUGGUGCAUGGCUGUCGUCAGCUCGUGUCGUGAGAUGUUGGGUUAAGUCCCGCAACGAGCGCAACCCUUGUCCUAUGUUGCCAGCGGAUAAUGCCGGGGACUCGUAGGAGACUGCCGGGGUCAACUCGGAGGAAGGUGGGGACAACGUCAAGUCAUCAUGCCCCUUAUGUCUAGGGCUGCAAACAUGCUACAAUGGCCGGUACAGAGGGCUGCAAAACCGCGAGGUUGAGCGAAUCCCACAAAGCCGGUCUCAGUUCGGAUUGGAGUCUGCAACUCGACUCCAUGAAGGCGGAGUCGCUAGUAAUCCCGGAUCAGCAACGCCGGGGUGAAUACGUUCCCGGGCCUUGUACACACCGCCCGUCACACCACGAAAGUUGGCAACACCCGAAGUCAGUGGCCGAACCCUCUGGGGCGGAGCUGCCGAAGGUGGGGUUAGCGAUUGGGGUGAAGUCUAAACAAGGUAACC